GGUAAUACGUAGGGGGCGAGCUUAUCCGGGAAUUAUUGGGCGUAAAGAGUACGUAGGUGGUUUCCUAAGCGAGGGGUUUAAGCACUGGCUUAACCAAUGUUCGCCCCCCGAACUGGGAGACUUGAGUGCUGGAGAGGAAAGGGAAUUCCUAGUGUAGCGGUGAAAUGCGUAGAUAUUAGGAGGAACACCAGUGGCGAAGGCGCUUUCUGGACAGUAACUGACACUGAGGUACGAAAGUGUGGGGAGCAAACAGGAUUAGAUCCCUGGUAGUCCACACCGUAAACGAUGAGCACUAGGUGUCGGGUCCGCAAGGAUUCGGUGCGCAGUUAACGCAUUAAGUGCUCCGCCUGGGGAGUACGUACGCAAGUAUGAAACUCAAAGAAUUGACGGGGACCCGCACAAGCAGCGGAGCAUGUGGUUUAAUUCGAAGCAACGCGAAGACCUUACCAGGACUUGACAUCCCUCUGACAGCUUUGAUAAUGAUAAGCUUUCUUCGGACAGGGUGACAGGUGGUGCAUGGUUGUCGUCAGCUCGUGUCGUGAGAUGUUGGGUUAAGUCCCGAACGAGCGCAACCCUUGUCUUUAGUUGCCAUCAUUAAGUUGGGCACUCUAAAGAGACUGCGGGGACAACUCGGAGGAAGGUGGGGAUGACGUCAAAUCAUCAUGCCCCUUAUGUUCUGGGUACACACGUGCUACAAUGGUCGGUACAAAGAGCAGCAAGACCGCGAGGUGGAGCAAAUCUAAAAACCGAUCCCAGUUCGGAUUGCAGGCUGCAACUCGCCUGCAUGAAGUCGGAGUUGCUGUAAUCGUGGAUCAGAAUGCCACGGUGAAUGCGUUCCCGGGUCUUGCACACACCGCCCGU
rnacentral:rRNA from 1 species